UCUCCGUUGGUGAACCAGCGGAGGGAUCAUUACCGAGUUUACAACUCCCAAACCCCUGUGAACAUACCUGUUUUGUUGCUUCGGCGGUGCCCUCGCUCUCGCGGCGAGGCCCGCCAGAGGACCCAAGCAAACUCUUUGACUUUGAUCUAGGAUUAUACUUCUGAGUGAUACAAAAAAUAAAAUCAAAACUUUCAACAACGGAUCUCUUGGUUCUG
rnacentral:misc_RNA from 1 species